rnacentral:lncRNA from 1 species
UUUCUGCAACAAUGUCCGGCGUCACAUGCUGUCUAAGGUUUCCAGGGCAACUCAAUUCCGACCUCCGAAAACUUGCAGUGAAUCUGAUUCCAUUCCCUCGUCUGCACUUCUUCAUGGUCGGAUUCGCCCCUCUCACCUCCCGUGGGUCCCAACAAUACCGCGCAUUAACCGUCCCUGAACUCACCCAACAAAUGUGGGACGCAAAGAACAUGAUGUGCGCCGCUGACCCCCGCCAUGGCCGCUACCUCACCGCCUCCGCCAUCUACCGUGGCAAAAUGAGCACGAAAGAGGUGGAUGAACAAAUGCUAAAUGUCCAGAACAAGAACUCGUCUUACUUUGUGGAAUGGAUCCCAAACAAUGUGAAAUCAACUGUUUGUGAUAUUCCACCAACUGGGCUAAAAAUGGCGUCUACUUUCAUUGGGAAUUCGACUUCCAUCCAGGAGAUGUUUAGGCGUGUUAGUGAGCAGUUUACUGCUAUGUUUAGGAGGAAGGCUUUCUUGCAUUGGUACACUGGUGAGGGAAUGGAUGAAAUGGAGUUCACUGAAGCUGAGAGUAACAUGAACGAUUUGGUGUCUGAGUAUCAGCAGUAUCAGGAUGCUACUGCUGAUGAGGAGGGAGAGUAUGAGGAAGAGGAGGAAGAGGCAGAGUACGAGGGUUGAUUGGGAGAGAAGGGUGAAGGAGACUAGAGUCUAUUAUAUGGUUAUUAUAUUGUUUUGUGUGUGAAUUGUCUUGUGGUUGUCAACUCAACUACCAUUUU